rnacentral:rRNA from 1 species
AGAGUUUGAUCCUGGCUCAGGACAAACGCUGGCGGCGUGUAUUAGGCAUGCAAGUCGAGCGAGAAGCCGGCCUUCGGGCUGGUGGAGAGCGGCGGACGGGUGAGUAACACGUGGGUAACCUGCCCUGGAGUGGGGGAUAACCCGGCGAAAGCCGGGCUAAUACCGCAUACGACUCCCGAUGCGAGAUCGGGUAGUAAAACUCCGGUGCUCCGGGAGGGGCCCGCGGCCGAUUAGCUAGUUGGUGAGGUAACGGCCCACCAAGGCGACGAUCGGUAGCUGGUCUGAGAGGAUGAUCAGCCACACGGGGACUGAGAACGGCCCCGACUCCUACGGGAGGCAGCAGCUAAGAAUCUUGCGCAAUGGGCGAAAGCCUGACGCAGCAACGCCGCGUGCGGGAGGAAGGCCUUCGGGUUGUAA